rnacentral:piRNA from 1 species
UACAGUUAAUCCUGACAGUGCCAACGAAGU